UCGUUAAAAAAAUUUAAGCCUCCUAAUAUUUCUCGCCCCUUUCUUUAUUUUUCCCUCUUCUCUUUUCCUAUCCGUGUCCUCCGACCUCCCUUCCUCUCUCUGACCAGCCCUCUCUCCUCUCCUCUCUCCGCGACUCACUCUCUCUCCUCUCUCCCUUCUCACCGAUCCGCAACGUUCGCCUCCUCUCAGUCUCAGUUCUCAUCCCUCUCAAACAGAAUUUGACUGUACCGGCUCGACAUGGACUUGGUACAGUGAAUCUGGUUGUGGCAGCUUGGUGAAGCCAUUCUCUAAGUGGAUAAGGGGUUUAUGUUCUUGCCCAAACUGAAUCUCUGAAACUUCACCCCAAGAGUACUUUACUGGAAUGCCGGGUUCAAAUGCUGCAAAAUUUACUUCCGAUUCCAAUGGCGCAAAGGAAUGGUAGAAACUCAUUUGUGAACUCUUAUUCUUCUGAGAAUCAGGAAGGUUGACUGCAGGUGCCUUAGCUUCUACCACUGGCUCUGAAACUAUGUUCCUGAGAUCGUCUUCAUGGCUGCUGGAAUCCACAUUCUGGAGAAGUAAGUUACUGCUGCAAAUUCUGUAGCUUCCAUUCAGAACAUCAUUUUGAUGAACACUAGUUGAGCUUUGAAGGCCAAAACUUACUGAAGGAUCUUUUAGAGGUAUAUCAUAAUGGUUUAACCCUCCAAAAGAAGUUUUCCCAUCACUUUCCUUUUCCUUUUGCAGCCUGCUCAGGUAAAGGCGAUACUUCUGCAGAGACAGUACCAUUGAACUUUGCUAAGGACACCUUAAGAAUGAGGGUUCUGUCAUUCUUUUGAUUUCCGGACAGAGGAUUUUGGUCUGUUAAAUUUGAAAUAAAGCACAAAAACUACAGCAAAAGGAGAGCUGAAUUUAGUUGUGGUUGGAAAGUCUUUGCCAAGGACAAUUAUUUGAAAGUUGGCGAUGUCUACAUUUUCGAGCUUCUUAAGAGAUCCGAAAAUGUAUUCAAGGUUUCCAUUGAUUGUGCUGCUGAUUAUGCAUCCGACUAAAAUCUCAAGCUAGUGGAAUCAAAGCUCCUGCCUCGGAUCCCCUCUACUCUCAAACAGAUUUUACAUAUAGAUACCGAAGAUUCAAAGAAUAUUCCACUGGCGCUAGCUUGUGUGGUAAGUUCUAGCUUAUACUUGCUCUUAACAUGUUUUCAUGGUUUCAUGUGUAUGCAAUUAUCUGAUUUCUUACAGGUAUUAAUAAAUAAAAGCUUUAUUAUUUACAUGUUAAUUUUAUUUUUAGACCCAAAAUAACAUGCAUUCUAUUUUGGGCCCAUUAAUUUGAAGAUAUCCCAGAUUUGAAACCCAUUCUAUGUUUUUGUCAUAGUUUGAACAGUCUCUAUUACAAAUUAAUGGCCAAAACUGAAGCAACAGGAAAAAAAAACCUAAUUAUUUAUUUAUGGAAAGAGGAGAUGGUGGUGGCAAGUCACGAGGCCCUGCACUCAGUUAGGUAGCCUGCAAGUCACGAGGACUGAGGUGAUGGUGUGCUCUUCAAUGAACUCAUUUUUUUAUUUUAUUUUGUAAUUAUAAUUGAAAGUGGCUAAUAAAGAUAUACAUAUAAAAAAAUUAGGUGGCCUGAUGAUACAGUCUAUAUAUAUAUAUAUAUAUAUAUAGUCGAUAUCCUCGUUUAUCCUUUUCCCUAGCUGCACAUUUUGUUAUCUUAUUCCUAAAUAAACAAGAACAAAAAAAAAUAUAGAGAACAAAUCAGCCUUCAAGCUUGUCAUAUAUGUAGUUUGGUAUUCAUAUAUAAUAUCAUAAUCUCAACAUAUGCUUGGUCAUGGCCGAAGGUCAAAUUCAGUUAUAUAUAAGAAUUAGUUAUGUGUGUUAUUAUAUUGUAAUUGAAAAAUUAAGGAUAAUCCUCAAAGUCACAGUCACUUUGGUAAAGCUUUCUUAUUUAUUCACUUCUUGAGCAGCGCAAAGAAGAGUUGAAGAAAACUUGAUUUGAGAUAUGGUAGGGCACUUGUGGGACAUGUGAUUGAAAUAUGGAACAUUAGUUAUAUUUAUCAUCACUCUAGUUACAACAUAUAUAGCAUAUAGAUUGUUGGUGGUGACUCUUCUACAUGCACAUAAAUAUUAUAAAGGUUGUAGGUAUAAAUAUAUGUAUAUGUAUAUAUAUAUUUAUAUUAGUUUUUUGUCAAAAGGGUAAUCUAUCUUUGCAUUUUGAAAAUAGUAUAAACUAAGUUAUGACGUAGUUUUCUAUAUAUUUUAGGUGGACAAGCUAAGUAUUUGAGUCAACCCAAGGCUGAGAAGAAAGAGUAAGAUGAGCAUUUGGUUUUUCUCCUCAUUGCAUUAUUAUUUAAUUAUUUAAUUCAGAUUUGACUCACUUUCAUUAUAUAUUAUAACAUUGUAAAUGUGUGUAUGUGCUGAGAUAGAUUUCAAAGAAACUUUUUUUUUGCAACAGUUUGCAAGAGGUAUGCCUCUAACUUUUAUUUUAAUACUAUGCAAAUGUUAGAGGAGUUUGAACAUCUUAAAUAUUCAUCCAUAGUGAAGUAGGUUCUGAGAUUGUUAUUGUGUGUUGCGGUGAUAACGGAAAGUUGAGAACUUGUGUGUUUUAGUGAAGUAAGAUCUGAGAAAUUUGUGUACUGCGGAGAUAAGAAAGAAAACUUGUGUGUUGUUUGAAUUGAUGUAGACUUGUCCAUGAUUAUCCUAUAAUUGAAUUGUGUUUGUUUGAUUGGUUUGAUUAUAACAAUACUUGUAUGAAUGUACUUAUUGCGUGUUGACAUACACAUAUAGCAUAACAUUUUGUACUUUUUGUCCCUUGUCUAAUAUCUUUGGUGAGGUGAUUUAUAACAUUGAGCAUCACUUUUGGUUUUUGUGAUCACAUUUAGGUUCAAUAGUAUAAAGUGCUAUACAAAAGUUUGACGUUACUAGCAUAUUGAUUGACUGAAAACCUCAGUCAUCCUUUUUAUUUCUUUUGCAACCUCAAGUACUCUAUUUAUUUUAGUUUUGGUUUGACUUUAAUGGUGUUUAUUCUGUAUUGUAGGCUAAAACUCUACUUUGAUAUUUAAGAGAACCAAGGCAACAAGAAAUUCUUCUUCAAGUUGUUGGGUAUUAUUUUCUUUCUUGCUUGUAAGAAUUAUGUACAGUGAGGAUUUGAUGUAUUAUUUACAUUAAGAAUAAUGAAUUUUUAUUGAGAAUUAUAAUGAGUUUUUAUUGAGAAUUAUUUAGUUUUCAUGGGGAUUUGAUGUAUUAUUUACAUUUCAAUUGUAUGAAUAAAUGUUGUACGUAUAUGAAUUUUUAUU